UGUUAAUGAUCUGUCUGAUUGCCUACUUGGUCCAUCUUAUAUUUGAUUUAAGUUGAAUAGGUUGUUUGCUUGUCGACAUUUUUGCUUGUAUGUUUACAAGAGCAGCAUAUGGAACCACUCAGGGGAAUGACAUUAUAAAGCUGAAUUUUGAUCCGUAUAUCUACUGUUUCUUUGUGGUUCUUUAAAGGUAAGUGCACUAUUAUCCAUUGCUGGGUUGCUUCAGUGACUUUAUGAUGAACCAUGGAACCAGCUGUAGUUCCAGGAGAGCAGAAAAUUGGGUGGCAGGUUUGGUCUUCAAGUGAUUUUUGAAUGUCCAAUAAGAAAACCAUUUUCUAUUGGCACAAUGGGUUGCCACAAUGUUAUGUCCCAAUAAUUGUUAUUGAUCAAUGUUUCAUUUUUAAUAUCUUUCAUAUUAUUGCUCUUUCUUGGUUUCUGGAGUGUAUACUGAGAUGAAACAAAUAUUUCUCAGGAGAUUCUAUUUCAUCACGCUCUCCAAAUGUAUCUAAACCUCCACAACUGUCGCCUUUAACAAUUUUAGGUCUGCGACUACCUGCACGCCCAUUAAAACAGAUUAGCUUUUUCAGUGGCAAGAAGGAGGUUCAGAGCUCUGCAACUGUUCUUGGUUAUGUUGCACAUGCUGUAUUGCUUAUUGCAUCGUACCUUGAUGUUCCUCUACGAUAUCCUUUGCGCUUGGGAGGCUCACGUUCAUAUAUUCAUGACUAUGCUCCUUCAGUUGAGUCUAUAUCAUCAGAUUUGUCAGCAAAUCCAAUUCUUAUGGGCAUGAAUGUAAAGCCUACAGAAUUUCCACUCUUUCUGGAAGGCCAAGAUUCUACAAGAGCAGCAUAUGCAAUAUUUUUGUUGAAUAAGGUUCAUCUUCUAUGCUUUAUUGUGCUUCUGUCUCUCUGUUUAAGGUAGAAGUUGGCAUCAAUAUGUAUCUCCAUAUGUUGCUACCAAUAGGUUUGUCUAAAUCUAACAAGUAUUGGAAGUCAGAUGGUUCACUUUGACUGACAGAUGUUACUUCUUAUCAUUGCCUACAUAUUUGCUUA